rnacentral:rRNA from 1 species
UGGGGUGACUGCGUACCUUUUGUAUAAUGGGUCAGCGACUUAUAUUCUGUAGCAAGGUUAACCGUAUAGGGGAGCCGGAGGGAAACCGAGUCUUAACCGGGCGUUAAGUUGCAGGGUAUAGACCCGAAACCCGGUGAUCUAGCCAUGGGCAGGUUGAAGGUUGGGUAACACUAACUGGAGGACCGAACCGACUAAUGUUGAAAAAUUAGCGGAUGACCUGUGGCUGGGGGUGAAAGGCCAAUCAAACCGGGAGAUAGCUGGUUCUCCCCGAAAGCUAUUUAGGUAGCGCCUCGUGAAUUCAUCUCCGGGGGUAGAGCACUGUUUCGGCUAGGGGGUCAUCCCGACUUACCAACCCGAUGCAAACUGCGAAUACCGGAGAAUGUUAUCACGGGAGACACACGGCGGGUGCUAACGUCCGUCGUGAAGAGGGAAACAACCCAGACCGCCAGCUAAGGUCCCAAAGUCAUGGUUAAGUGGGAAACGAUGUGGGAAGGCCCAGACAGCCAGGAUGUUGGCUUAGAAGCAGCCAUCAUUUAAAGAAAGCGUAAUAGCUCACUGGUCGAGUCGGCCUGCGCGGAAGAUGUAACGGGGCUAAACCAUGCACCGAAGCUGCGGCAGCGACACUGUGUGUUGUUGGGUAGGGGAGCGUUCUGUAAGCCUGUGAAGGUGGCCUGUGAGGGUUGCUGGAGGUAUCAGAAGUGCGAAUGCUGACAUAAGUAACGAUAAAGCGGGUGAAAAGCCCGCUCGCCGGAAGACCAAGGGUUCCUGUCCAACGUUAAUCGGGGCAGGGUGAGUCGACCCCUAAGGCGAGGCCGAAAGGCGUAGUCGAUGGGAAACGGGUUAAUAUUCCCGUACUUGGUGUUACUGCGAAGGGGGGACGGAGAAGGCUAUGUUGGCCGGGCGACGGUUGUCCCGGUUUAAGCGUGUAGGUGUGUGUUCCAGGUAAAUCCGGUUCACUUUAACACUGAGGCGUGACGACGAGGCACUACGGUGCUGAAGCAACAAAUGCCCUGCUUCCAGGAAAAGCCUCUAAGCAUCAGGUAACAUCAAAUCGUACCCCAAACCGACACAGGUGGUCAGGUAGAGAAUACCAAGGCGCUUGAGAGAACUCGGGUGAAGGAACUAGGCAAAAUGGUGCCGUAACUUCGGGAGAAGGCACGCUGACACGUAGGUGAAGUGAUUUACUCACGGAGCUGAAGUCAGUCGAAGAUACCAGCUGGCUGCAACUGUUUAUUAAAAACACAGCACUGUGCAAACACGAAAGUGGACGUAUACGGUGUGACGCCUGCCCGGUGCCGGAAGGUUAAUUGAUGGGGUCAGCGCAAGCGAAGCUCCUGAUCGAAGCCCCGGUAAACGGCGGCCGUAACUAUAACGGUCCUAAGGUAGCGAAAUUCCUUGUCGGGUAAGUUCCGACCUGCACGAAUGGCGUAAUGAUGGCCAGGCUGUCUCCACCCGAGACUCAGUGAAAUUGAACUCGCUGUGAAGAUGCAGUGUACCCGCGGCAAGACGGAAAGACCCCGUGAACCUUUACUAUAGCUUGACACUGAACAUUGAGCCUUGAUGUGUAGGAUAGGUGGGAGGCUUU